UGGCGGACGGGUGAGUAAUGUCUGGGAAACUGCCCGAUGGAGGGGGAUAACUACUGGAAACGGUAGCUAAUACCGCAUAACGUCGCAAGACCAAAGAGGGGACCUUAGGGCCUCUUGCCAUCGGAUGUGCCCAGAUGGGAUUAGCUAGUAGGUGGGGUAACGGCUCACCUAGGCGACGAUCCCUAGCUGGUCUGAGAGGAUGACCAGCCACACUGGAACUGAGACACGGUCCAG
rnacentral:rRNA from 1 species